CGCUAGUGUAUACCACGAGUACUGCGGUUAAAAAGCUCGUAGUUGGAUCUGCGGCAAUGGAUGUCGGUCCACCUGAUGGGUGCGUACUGGCUAUCCUUGCCUUGUAUGUCAGUAUUUCCCAGUGUUUCUUUCAACGGACGCACUGGGAGACUGGCGCUUUUACCUUGAGAAAAUUGGAGUGCUCAGAACAGGCGCAUGCCUGAACAGUUGUGCAUGGAAUAAUGGAAUAGGAUCUUGGUCCUAUUUUGUUGGUUUUAGGGAUUGAGAUAAUGAUUAAGAGGGACAGACGGGGCCAUUCGUAUUGCGACGUUAGAGGUGAAAUUCUUGGAUCGUCGCAAGACGGACAACUGCGAAAGCAUUUGGCAAGAAUGUUUUCAUUAAUCAAGAACGAAAGUUAGAGGUU
rnacentral:rRNA from 1 species